ensembl:misc_RNA Metazoa_SRP Metazoan signal recognition particle RNA
ACCAGGUGUGGUGGUGUGCACCUGUAGUCCUAGCUACUCAGGAGGGUGAGGUGGGAGGAUUGCUUGAGCCCAGGAGUUCGAGGCUGCAGUGAGCUAUGAUUGCACCACUGCACUCCAGCCUGGACAACAGAGUGAGACUCCAUCUCAA